GUGCAGCCCUGAAAAGUAGUGUAAGGACUUUGACAAGAAUGUGUUUGCAUGGCCACUAACCUUCCUGGGAGAGAGACAGGGUUAUGGAAGGCAAACCAAAUUCCACAACCACAUUUCAAGCCUCUACUUAUAUGUCUUCCACUAACAUCCCAUUGGCCAAAGGAAUUCCGUGCUCAAGUCAAAUGUCAAGAUGAAGCAAAUGGACUUUACCCAUAAGGAAGCUAUAUCAUGGAAUAAUUAUAUCAUAGAAAUGUGAAGAAUGGAAAACACUAUCAUCGAAGAUAAAUAUCAUCUAAGGUGGACAACAAGGAACAACUAUUCAUGGAUACCACUGAGAGAAUCCUAGAACAUGGCGGUGAGGCUGAAGCAUCCUCCUGUUACACAGAGACCAAGACAGACUACAUUAGAAAGUUUCAUUUACCCAUGGUCAACAGCGAUCUGGAAGCAGGUGAUCCUCCUCUGACGUAUCAUCAGAAGGUCACUGGGAGCCUAACCCUCUGUCAUGACACCUAAAUCAUUCACCUCACUUCAUCUCGUCA